UACAGAGGGUGCUAGCGUUGUUCGGAAUCAUUGGGCGUAAAGGGCGUGUAGGCGGUUUGUUAAGUCAUGUGUGAAAUCCCUCGGCUCAACCGGGGAACGACGCAUGAAACUGGCAAGCUAGAGUACCAAAGAGGAGAGUGGAAUUCCCGGUGUAGCGGUGAAAUGCGCAGAUAUCGGGAAGAACACCCGUGGCGAAGGCGGCUCUCUGGGACGGUACUGACGCUGAGACGCGAAAGCGUGGGGAGCGAACAGG
rnacentral:rRNA from 1 species